ACAUUCAUGAUGUUACGUCUAAACUGAGAGGAGUAAUUGCUGGGAUGCCUGUGGAAAUGACCACGGAAGAAGUUAAGGCUUCCCUGAAAGGAGGAAAAGUUAUGGAAGCCAAAAGGAUGAAAAGCAAAAAGAGUGGCGGUCGAGUGGACACUACAACUGUACUGUUACACAUUGAGGGGAACCUGACGAAUAGGGUGCAGCUAGGAUCACUACUCAGUUAUCCGGUUAGCUAAAGCAGCCUAACGCUUCGAAGACACCGGCUGCGAAUUGCAUCACUGCUGCAUAACAUUUUGCGAGGCAAUGCUGCAUAACAUUUUGCGCAGCUAGGCAACUAUACUGAUGCAGGUACCUUUUGCAAAUGGUCGCAUGCGGUUGGACACAUGGAGGAGAGAAUCAUUUUCGCAGUAUCCUCAAAACCGUGUCUUUUUGACACAACUGCUGACAGCUACAGGGACAUAAACACAAAAAAAUGCUGAUUGGAGACAAGGGUCCACGAUAGUAGAAUUGCCAGGUCAGUUUAGUAGUGAGCUUGUGCUAGAUGUGGCUAGUUAGCGUUAGCUAGCUUGCUAACCUAGCCAAUGAAGUGGGUGUGUAAAAUAAAUAGUCAAAUAAAUUAUGCUAGUUACUACCCCUGAUAACUUUACCAAAUAAUCAUGUUUGAAAGAGUGUGAGUGUGUAUGCUAGAUAAAUAGUAAUAGAAAUAGUAGAUACUACUGUACCCCUGAUAAUUUGGUCAGAUAACCGUGUGUGUGUGUGUCUAUGUGUACAGUAGGUGACAUGUCCAUGAUAGCUAUCUAAUAACUAUAGUUAUGCUAGGUAAUGGUUUGGCUUAUCAUGUUCAUGUCUAUUGUUAGAGUUGCGUAAAUUCGAAUCUGGUAUCACGAUAAAUUUAACAAUGAAUCACCGAUUUUAUACUAUAUAUUUUUUAUUUGCUCAGUAAUAAAUGGCUAAUGCAACUAUCGCUCACUGUAAUACCAUGCAGGGCAGAACAGAGAACUGACAAGAUGUAUGUAAACAGUAUUCUUUAUACUGUGAUAGACAGUUCCAACCCGUCUGUUGGCCUAUCACAGUAGGGACUGGGCGUGGUUUAAACUUGCUCAGCCUAUUGCAGGCGCUCAGGCGGGUCCCCGCCUCUUGGCGCUUCUGUUGAUAGAUGUAACUGUUGCUGUGAAGAACAUCCAUGCGCUCAUGCUCCAUACCGUUAUCUCGCACCUGGCUCCUGUUAUCUAACAAAAGACCGCUUGUUCUCGCAACACCCCAUGCUACUCUGUAUUUUUCCAUCAUGACAAAGGCCCAUGGCCCUGAAGCUUUUAACAAUGUUUCAAGUUAGCUAUGUUGCAUAACACAUACAUACAUCCACACAAGCCAACAGCAGAUAAUAUUCAAUCAUAUAUAUGGUAAUGGCUAUAAUGUAAAACACAGGAUCCAACACUAUGUAGAAGAAGAGAAAGGAGGAAGUGGAGAGGACUCAGGGACAGGUAUCAGAGAGAGAGAAGGGCAGAGAAAGAGAAGAAGAGGUCUGGGUCAGCAGCUUCAGGUCAGCAGCCUUGGCACUUCUGCCACAUUCUUUAUUUUCUGGAUCCAUGUAUUGUGCCUAGGACAACGAGUGGCCAUUUAACAGCUAGACCCACUACUACUUCAUCCACAAGUGUUGUCCCCACCGGUGCAUCAAGACCCUCAAUGUCACCUUCAAAUGCGACCAUCACCUCCACCGGUGGAGUGAGACCUUCUACAACAUCAUCCACGAGUAUGACCAUGGAAGAUGAUGAAAUGGAGGAAGCACCUCUGGAUCUAGGACCACCUGAGAUUAUUAUGAACCUCACGGAAGUGACCACCGAGGACCUCGUUGAACAGGAUGUGGCCGUGGAGAGAAACAGAGAGAGAAACGAAGAGGAACAACGUCACACCAGUCCCCAGAUCCACUCAACUCAUUUCAGCAGAGGCUCCUCCAAGCCGUUGAGAGGGAUGCUGCCCAACCUGAUGCUCAUAGGAAGGAGAAUGAAGAGACCCUCUUUGCCAUGAGCCUGGUGCCAACACUGAAGAGGCUGCCUCAGCAAAGAAAAGCAGCAGUCAAGGUUAAAAUGUAUCAGCUGCUUUUCGAAGCCGAGUUCAAUGAAAUGGAGUCAAUUUAGCCAACCAGCUCACAGGAAAGACAGGAAGAGGAGAGGAGUUGCCGGGGCCGACCAGCUCACAGGAAGAGGAGUUGUCUGGUUGUUGUUUUGACCUCCCUCGUUGUACCUUUCUUUUCACACACAUCAGUUCUGUUUAAAUUCAGUCAAUUCAUUUGUUUAUAAAGUCUUAGGAUAGCAUUCGUUAUUAGUGUUACAUAGAUUUCUGAAUUGAAACUCAUACGAAGUUUUCACAGAUGCUCUUGGUCUCUUACAAGACUAAAGGUCAAUAUAUUUCUUUCAUUUAAAACCACUUGAAAACCAGGGUGUUGAAACUUUUUGUGAAGUUCUGUUCCAUCGACUGGUCCGUGACAUCCAGGGGCCAUUUGUUUGUUUAGCUGUGUUAUGGCUACAUAUUAUUCCCUUUUUCUCAGAGACAGAGACACACACACACCUCUUCGUACUUCAGAUCUCCAGUGCCCUGCCCUCUCUCUCUUUAUGGCCAUGUCUGAAGUUCCCCUACUACGUCUAGGCUUUAUGAGUAGUCCCUGUAUCGGUCUGCAGUUGUGCCAAAAAUACAUGCUCUUGCUGUUCUCUUACAGGUUACAGGCUACACAUUCAUUUUUUAAAUAUAUUUUUUUACACGCACACACACACACCUCUUUCAAUAGUUUAAUUUUUGUAAACAUUUUUACAGCACACAUACCUGUCAUGUUCUUUCCUGUACUUGAAUACUUAUUCAAUUAUAAUGUUUUCAUAGUCAGUUGUUUCAGUUGUUUAUUAAUAUCUCAUUUAGACUUAAUCUGCUUAUUUCUUCCCUACACCUUUGCUGAUCUAAGACAAGAUGAAAGUAAAAACACGUUCUCUUCCUAA